GACGAACGCUGGCGGCGUGCCUAAUACAUGCAAGUUGAGCGAUGAAGUUUGGUGCUUGCACCAAUUUGAAGAGCAGCGAACGGGUGAGUAACGCGUGGGGAAUCUGCCUUUGAGCGGGGGACAACAUCUGGAAACGAAUGCUAAUACCGCAUAACAACUUUAAACAUAAGUUUUAAGUUUGAAAGAUGCAAUUGCAUCACUCAAAGAUGAUCCCCCGUCGUAUUAGCUAGUUGGUGAGGUAAAGGCUCACCAAGGGGAUGAUACAUAGCCGACCUGAAAGGGGGAACGGCCCAAUUGGGAAUGAGACACGGCCCAAAAUCCUACGGGAGGCAGCAGUAGGGGAUCUUCGGCAAUGGACGAAAGUCUGACCGAGCAACGCCGGGGGAGUGAAGAAGGUUUUCGGAUCGUAAAAAUCUGUUGGUAGGGAAGAAAGUUGGGGGGAGUGGAAAGCGCAUCAAGUGACGGUAACUAACCAGAAAGGGACGGCUAACUACGUG
rnacentral:rRNA from 1 species